AGCGAACGCUGGCGGCAGGCCUAACACAUGCAAGUCGAACGAACUCUUCGGAGUUAGUGGCGGACGGGUGAGUAACACGUGGGAACAUGCCUUUUGGUUCGGAAUAACUCAGGGAAACUUGUGCUAAUACCGAAUGUGCCCUUCGGGGGAAAGAUUUAUCGCCAUUAGAGCGGCCCGCGUCUGAUUAGCUAGUUGGUGAGGUAACGGCUCACCAAGGCGACGAUCAGUAGCUGGUCUGAGAGGAUGACCAGCCACACUGGGACUGAGACACGGCCCAGACUACUACGGGAGGCAGCAGUGGGGAAUCUUGCGCAAUGGGCGAAAGCAUGACGAAGCCAUGCCGGGUGAAUGAUGAAGGUCUUAGGAUAGUAAAAUUCUUUAAACGGGGACGAUAAUGACGGUACCCGGAGAAGAAGCCCCGGCUAACUUCGUG
rnacentral:rRNA from 1 species